UACGGAGGGUGCGAGCGUUGUCCGGAAUCAUUGGGCGUAAAGGGCGCGUAGGUGGCCUGCUAAGCGUGCGGUGAAAGUCGGGGGCUCAACCCCCGAUCGGCCGUGCGAACUGGGAGGCUUGAGCACUGUAGAGGCAGGCGGAAUUCCGGGUGUAGCGGUGGAAUGCGUAGAGAUCCGGAAGAACACCGGUGGCGAAGGCGGUCUGCUGGGCAGUUGCUGGACACUGAGGCGCGACAGCGUGGGGAGCAAACAGGG
rnacentral:rRNA from 1 species